CUCCUCCUCCUCCUCCUCCUUAUUUUACUUCUUCUUCUCUAUCUCUUCUUCUAUGUAGCUUAGACUUAUCCAAGAAAGGCUAAAUUGGGUAAUUAUCCUACGAAAUGACAUAAUUAGCUGAGUUAGCUCCAAAAUGUCCUAUUUAAUAAAAAAUGACCUAUACUUAGCUAAUUAUCCUCGAAAUGACAUAAUUAGCUCCAAAAAGGCAUUCUUAGCCAAUUUAGCCCGAAGAAGGGGACACGAAGAGAAAAAGAGGAAAAUGA
rnacentral:lncRNA from 1 species